CUUCUGCUUCCUGGCUACCACAGGAUGAGCAUUUGUCUUCUACAAUGCUGUUUAUGCUUUGCAGCCGGAAUACUAUGGACUGGAUCCACUAAAACUGAGCAGCUUUCUGUCUCCUUGCCCUUCCACCAUGACGCUUCUGCCUUACCAUGGGCCAAAGAGUAAUGGAGCCAGCUACCUGUAGACUGAAAUCUCUGAGACUGAGACCAAACAAACCUUUCCUCAUUCAGUUGUGUAUCUCAGGUAUUUCUCACCGAAGGGCAGCCUGCCCGCUCCAUGACUGACAGGAUGGGGUGGCCCCGCCCCCCCGGGCUGACUGAUGGAUCCGACUCCGUCCCCCCAUCCAGCCCAGACUCGGGUCCAGCACAGUGAAUGGGGCCCUGAAGUGCAGUGUGCAGCUCGGGGUCUCAGGCCUCCCGUUCAGAGCCUCUCCACCCACUGGCCGACUGACCUUGGUUUUGCCCCCUGCUAUGGUCAGAGUCCCCCAAACCUCUAAGUUGAAGCUGAAGGCCGAGGUGAUGGUGUCAGGAGGGGCAGCCCUCGGGAGGCCGUCAGGUCACAGGGCAGAGGUCUCACGGAAGAGAUUAGUGCCCUUACAAUGGGCUCGAGGGAGGGGCAGUGCCCCUUGCUUCUCUUCUGGCAUGUGAGGACACAGUUUGUCCUCUCCGGAGGAGGCAGAGACUGGGCCCUCAGCAGACUGGAGUCAUCUUGGUCUUGUACUUCCUGCCUCCAGAGCUGUGAGGAAACAAAUUUCCCUUCUUUUUAAAGUAACCAGCUUAAGGUAUUUUUUUCCAGCGAUCUAAAGGGACUGAGACAUUGUCUGGACUGGGGUUUCCUGUCUAGAAGAUGGGUCUGUUGUGGAUUCCAUGAGGUCAUAUGGAUCUUCUGCAUUUGGUUCUAGCUAAGUAAGUGUGAUCAUAGGUAAAUUCAGGUCUGUGUGUGUAGAUCUAUGUCUGUGUGUACAGCUACCUAUAAAGUUUUAUUAGCAAGCUAGAACAACAGCAACAUGGCACCAUGAGCCUCUCCCUGGGGCUGGGGCACCUGAUUUGCCUGCCUCACUGCAAGGCUGUGCCCACAUGACGCCUGGGGCAGAAGAUGUGCUCCCAGCAGCACUUGCAUCCUGAUGGUUCUGACCCUCACCUGAAACAGCAAGAAAUCCAGCUUCAGGCGCAGAUGGAUUGCGGUUGUAAGAGUCUUGAACGCCACAGGGAUCAUUACCUAAGAGUUGGACUUCUGGCAACUGAGCUCAAGACUGAUGCACGCUGUGUCUUAGGGUGCUCUCCUGGGCUGAGCAGGGCCUGGAGCAGGCAGAUGUGCUCACAGCUGCCCGGUGCCAGGAUACCACAGCCACUGUCCUGCUCAGUCCAGCCCUGGGCUUUGGUGUCCAGGCGGGAGAAACUUGGCUCUGUUGAGCUUUUCAAAAUAAAGUGGUUUUUAUUUCAUAUUCACGAGAGAGGUUGCAAAAGAGACUCAGGGUCGCUGCUUUUCAUAUUAUUUAUGCAUUUGCCCCCCCAUCUCUCUUCCCAAAAGCAAGUCACAAAAGGGCCUUUGUUCUCCACAAGUUCAAAGCCAGCUCCUCCAAGGGGAGACUUCUGGGCGAUCACACGGGAGGCUGCUGUUCCAACGGCUGGCUGUCAGAGCAGAAAUACGGUCCGAGUCAGGGUUCCGGCAGUUUGCACGCUGCAGGAGCCGCCUGAAUGGUUUCCAGUGUGACCUGGGCUGAGGGGCCAGGCUGGGGCAGGGGGAGCAGCCUGAAUCCGCCUUGGCACACCUCGCCUCCAUGGCUUCGGUUUCCUCAUCAGCAGAACCGAGCGUGUGUACGCUGGACUCCAUCAGAGGGUUCCAUGGGGCGCCUGGGGUCGUCUUAGAAACAGGUGGGCUCGGGGGUACCCUGCCCUCUUCUGCCCUUCUGAAGGCUUGAGGGGUUGAGUGUGCAGG
rnacentral:lncRNA from 1 species